GAUGAACGCUAGCGGCAGGCUUAAUACAUGCAAGUCGAGGGGCAGCAGGGUGUAGCAAUACAUCGCUGGCGACCGGCAAACGGGUGCGGAACACGUACGCAACUUACCCAAAACUGGGGGAUAGCCCGGGGAAACCCGGAUUAAUACCCCGUGACCUAAUCGAGUGGCAUCACUCGAUUAGUAUAGCUCCGGCGGUUUUGGAUGGGCGUGCGCCUGAUUAGGUAGUUGGUUGAGGUAACGGCUCACCAAGCCUGCGAUCAGUAACUGGUGUGAGAGCACGACCAGUCACACGGGCACUGAGACACGGGCCCGACUCCUACGGGAGGCAGCAGUAAGGAAUAUUGGUCAAUGGACGCAAGUCUGAACCAGCCAUGCCGCGUGAAGGAUGAAGGUCCUCUGGAUUGUAAACUUCUUUUAUAGGGGAAGAAACCUCUUGAUUCUUCGAGAGUUGACGGUACCCUAGGAAUAAGCACCGGCUAACUCCGUGCCAGCCGCCGCGGUAACAC
rnacentral:rRNA from 1 species